CUCCAGCAAUAGAGGAGAGUUUUCAUGAGAUAACCUUCUCCAAAACUGCUGUUUCCACGUAUCCAAACCACAUUAUCCACCUGUAAUAUUUUCCUAUUUUGUCACUCUUUUUUUCCACGGCAGAGCAGCAGCGUCUUUAAUCAGACUCUACGGGCUGUAAAGUGAGAGAAUCUAAACGUGACGUCAAUGCCUAGUGACUGACGCAGCCCUUCAACGAAGAAAAAAAAACUGGCUUUUUUAUUUAUAAUUUUUUCUUCUUCUCGUCAGCAAAGCUUAAUUACUAAAUGUUACAGUGCUUCGUCGACUCAAAGAAAAAUAAAUAAUAAAUUCCGCAGGCAGCGUCGCGUAAUCUGCGUACAUCAGAAUAUGGAGCUAUUUGUGCGUUCAUGAGUUUGAGCUGAAGUGACACUGGGACGAGAAGCUGAAGAGGGCGACAAGACAUCAGAUAUUUUAUUGCAUGAUAUUGGCAGCGACGACGACUUGCAGAUUGUAUUUGUGGGGGGUGAAAGUGUGUUUUAGGGAUGCGAGUGAGCUGCUGGUGCUGGUGGAGGCACAUUGGGUUCCAGAAAGAAAAAAAAAUCACUGCAAUGAUGCAACAUAGGGGAAUCGGGGCUCUUGUGCAGAGUUGGAGAUGCAAACAAUAAUUUCCAUUACAUGCACUUCACGUUCCUAAGCGAUACCUUUUGUGAGUGUGUUUUUUUGUUUUUCUCUCUCCUUCGUAUCUGAGACCUAAAAAUAGCAUCAUAGUUUUGAUCGUGCGCCAGAAAUAGACAGACGGGUAUCACUUGUAUAAAAAGGGAGGCGAUCCUGAGCAAACUUGGACGUGCCACUAUUACAUUAAGGACGAGCCUGCACCACGAAGACAUCAAUGACAGUCAAAGCAAAAGCAGUGAUGGAGACGAGGUGCCGAGUGGACCCUGCUGCUGAUCCUCCAGCUGUGCGCCGGGGGAAGGGAGACCCGCGUUUUGGAUGUAUUCACAGAGAGAGAAAGACAGAGAAAAUACGAGAGACCGACCCUCCUCCUUGUCGUCCCCUCUCCCUCACCCUGAGAAAGAGAUGAGGACUGACGUCAGGGAAGUCCUGACUGACUUGAACCCAGCUGAUGAAUACUCCUCUUCUUCGUCUACACCGUCUCUGUCUCCUCCCCUUCUUCUCCUUUUCUGCAACCUGUGCAUGACUCCCCCCUCAACCUCCCCCUCCAUGGAGUCAGGACUCAGGACUCAGAUGAUGGAGAAAAGGGAAACUAACACAGCAGUAGAAGCAGAAAAGGAUAUCUAAGUGGACGGAGAGGGAAAGCUUGGAUAAACCGACACCUUUAUUCCCAGAAACACCACCCGAAUCCUCUGUAGGUGCGGCUGCUGCACGUUGCUCUGGUCUCUUCAGUUAAAACCAGACCAUAGCUGUUUGGCUGCGAGGACACGACCGAGACGUGAAGCUGCACUCUUUCAAAACGUCAGACAGCAGUGUGUGCGUGUAUGUGUGCAAUGUGUGAAACUUGAUUGUAUUUUAUGUUAUUCAUUUAAGCACGAUUUGAGGCUACUCUCUUACAAAUCAAAUGUUAUUUAAUGACUGUGUUACACUAGACUUACAUGCUGUGUAUGUGCUGUUUUAAUGUGAAAAUUGUGAAAAUAUGCAAAAACGACAUUAAUAAAUGUGAAAUAAUAUUGAUUUUGCAAUGAUGCCGAAGUAUAAAAUCGCGGCUUUUUUAUCUAAAAUAUAUUGUGACAGAUGACAUUUUGCAAAUAUGUUUUUAUUGCACAUAGUAAUAUCUAAGACUGAGAUACAGCUGUUGAGAAAUGCAUUUAAUUCCCCCCAUGUUUGAGCUUGUUACACAACUUGCUUCCUCUCGGUGUCACGUUGACUUCGAUGCCUCCACUUGUGUCAAAGAAUGCGAGCAGCUGCACGAAGCCUGUCAGCAUGUUCACACUGUUUUAUACUCUUGUCCCUCUGCUGAGUACACAACAUGUUUUGAUUUGUGCCAUGGAGCAUCGGUGUGUCAGAAUUACAUGUUUAGUUUUGGAGUGUGUGUGUGUGUGUGUGUGUGUGUGUGUGUGCGUGUGUGUGUGUGUGUGUGUGUGUGUGUGUGUGUGUGUGUGUGUGUGUGUGUGUGUGUGUGUGUGUGUGCGUGCGUGCGUGCGUGUGUGUGAGAGAGAGAGAGAAGGAGACAUGGCGGCAGUGCUGUUGCAGAAUGCCUUUUUGGGUCGAAGUGGGUAAAAGAUAGUCCAAACGAGCUUGUAGGAGAAAAAUGUGAUUUUGCUGCAACAUCCAAACAAGGCUUAUUCAUGUGAAUAUGUUAAAGUGUCAAAUAAAGCGAUGGAAAUGCA